UACGUAGGGGGCAAGCGUUGUCCGGAAUCAUUGGGCGUAAAGCGCACGUAGGCGGCCCGGUAAGUCCGUUGUGAAGUCAGAGGCUCAACCUCUGGAGGCCAAUGGAUACUGCCGGGCUAGAGUCCGGAAGAGGCGAGUGGAAUUCCUGGUGUAGCGGUGGAAUGCGCAGAUAUCAGGAGGAACACCAAUGGCGAAGGCAGCUCGCUGGGACGGUACUGACGCUGGAGGUGCGAAGCGUG
rnacentral:rRNA from 1 species